GUAGUCUGCCAUACGCAGGAAGACCCGCUGAACUGAAGCAUCUCAUUAAGCGGAGGAAAAGAAACUAACUAGGAUUCCCUUAGUAAAGGCGAUCGAAAAGGGAACAGCCCAACGUCUUAAUCCCGCAAGGGAAAUGUAGUCGGUUCACCUAUUGCACUGGUCUAAGUCAGAUGGAAUGCUGCGCGAUUCAGAGUAAAAGCCUCGUAUGACCAACCGCAAGCUUACGAUGGACCGGGGAGAGUCGGAUACUUUGAGAGUAGUGUCUUAAGGGGGUGGUAUGUCCCAUCCAAGGCUAAAUAACGUGAGGAGACCGAUAGAUUACAAGUAGUGUGAACGAAAGAUGAAAAGAACUCUAAAACAGAGGGUGAAAAGUUCCUGAACUUGCUUAGGGUUAAGGCUAUUUAUAGUACCCGUCUUGAAACACGGAUUAGGGAGUUUAUCUGUAGUGCGAGUCUUUGCACGUUAACUGUAAAGGCGUAGAGAAAGCAACUGGCGUUUGCAUGGCUACUGAGCAUUACUGAUAGGACCCGAAAGGUGGUGAACUUUGCCUGCACAGGUUGAAGUCAGGGAAACUCUGAUGGAGGACCGUACGGGUUAUUGAUGUGCAAAUCAUUUUUCUGAUGUAGGUAAAGGUGCGAAAGACUCAUCGAACCACCUAAUAGCUGGUUUCCUCCGAAGUUUCCCUCAGGAUAGCUGUAAUGCAUUUAGUUAAGGGGAGUAGAGAUAUGGGUAGAGGUGCAGGGAGCCUUCGGGUUCUCAACUUAUUUCCAAACUUCGAACCUCCUUGUUAGGCAUUUACCUAACUGGAAAUGCUUAAAUGAAUUAGCGUUACAAGUGGGCUCUGACCGGUAAGCGGUCAUGGCGAAAUGGGAUGAACCAUACGUCUGAAUAAGGUGCCGAAAUGUACUAUCACUGAUACCAUAAAGGGAGUCCAUGUAUUUAGACAGCAGGUCGGUGCCCCUAAAAGCAGGUAUCCGCUAAAGAGUGUGUUAAAACUCACCUGCCGAAUACUAGGGCCCCGAAAAUGAAUGGCGCAUAUAGUACUACCGAUCUCAGACAUCAGUUCUAUUGAACUGAGAGUAGGGGGAUGUGGACAUUUUUGUGAAGGUGCAAUGUGAGUUGGACUGGAAGAAUGUCUAUUACAGAUCCUAAUUGAAGUAGCGAUUAUCCAGGCUUGUAUCCUGGGGGCUGAUGAGGAGUAGGGUUUCUGGACAACUUAAACAGAUCCAGAGUUAGUCGAUCCUAAUCUCAAUAAUGGGAGAAAGGGAGUACAGU
rnacentral:ncRNA from 1 species